ACAUAUUUUUUGUUUGCAAGUCUUAUGGAAAUUUUAUGUAAUGCUGCAUGGGCAAUUGAGUUUUAAGCAUUUCUUUGUAUUUCAGAUCAAAGGAAUGGGUAAACAAUUGUCCUCGUGAAGAUCUUUUGGGCAAAAGUGCAGAAUAUCUUUACAACAAUUGUAAACUGUGUUCAGAUCAUUUUGAGGACUGCAUGUUCACCAGCAUGGAAAAGAAGAGAUUAAAUCCUCAGAGUAAGCCAACUCUAUUCAAAAUUCCCAAUCCUCCACCCCAAAUUGGGAAAAAACGAAGGGCAAUUGAAAGAAAAGAAAUUCAAUAUCUUCCAUCAGCAAAGAAAUCUCGACAUGAAGAAAUAGCCAAUGUUACAUGAAUAAGAGGAGAGCAACUUAGCAAAGAGUGCGACAAUAAGCAUGGGGAAAGUUUUAACAUUGAUGAGAUGGAAGAAGAAAAUCAAACAACUGAAGGCAACCAAAUGUAUAAUAUUCCCAAGAAUCAAUCAAAUGAAAAUGGAGAAGGUAAAAUGUAAUGAUUUUGCAACAGCUAGAUUACAUUAAGACUUAACACAUUAUAAGCUAGUUAACGAAGUUUUUCAAUGACCACAAAUUUUCUUUAGACAUUGCAUGUGAGUGUUCAAAAGAAGAUUUCAGUGGUCAAACAAACCAAUCCCUCUCAAAUAACACCCCUAGGAAGAGAAAACA